UACGUAGGGGGCUAGCGUUGUCCGGAAUCAUUGGGCGUAAAGCGCGCGUAGGCGGCCCUGUAAGUCCGCUGUGAAAGUCAAAGGCUCAACCUUUGAAUGCCGGUGGAUACUGCAGGGCUAGAGUCCGGAAGAGGCAAGUGGAAUUCCUGGUGUAGCGGUGGAAUGCGCAGAUAUCGGGAGGAACACCUAUGGCGAAGGCAGCUCUCUGGGACGGUACUGACGCUGAGACGCGAAAGCGUGGGGAGCGAACAGG
rnacentral:rRNA from 1 species